rnacentral:lncRNA from 1 species
AGAUGGAAAAACUUUUAUUGCUGUGGAUUGAUGAUUUAACCCAAAAACAAGAUUCUGUCACCCAGUUGGCCAUAAUGGAGAAAGCUAAAGCUGUUUGACCAAAUUAAAGAAGAAAAUGGUAACAAUGAAACAUUUGUUGCUAAUAAGAGAUGGUUUUUUUAGAUUUAAAUUUCACUCCAAAAUUUAUAUUGUUAAGUGUUUGGAGAAGCUGCAAGUGCCGAUACUACAGCAGCAGACUGGUAUCCAGUCGAAUUUCAACAAAUUGAAUGGUCACAAACAUGAUGAAUUCUAUAUUCAAUUUUCAAAACUAAAUGAAAAGCCAACCAAACUGUUAAAUAUAGAAUUUUUGCUGGAUUGUACAAAGGAAUACUGACUAGAGGAAUCAAAAGUAAUGGAAGUAGGAUAUGUGGAAUAUGAAUAAACAAGUGAAAACUAAUAAACAAGAGCUUGUGCAUGAGAAGUGAAAAUAUAUGCUGAAUGUGCUGUGAGUAAGAUAUCUCGAAACGGAUUUUAGUAUGGAUUUUCUCAUGUUUUAAAUAUUCUUAAUAAAAAUAUAGAUUCAUUGUCAUGAAAAUUAGUUUUAUUUUAAAGAUUAAAUCCCUGAUUUAUUUUCAGAU